rnacentral:rRNA from 1 species
CAGUAGCCGCGGGAAUACGUAGGUGGCAAGCGUUGUCCGGAAUUAUUGGGCGUAAAGGGCUCGCAGGCGGUUUCUUAAGUCUGAUGUGAAAGCCCCCGGCUCAACCGGGGAGGGUCAUUGGAAACUGGGAAACUUGAGUGCAGAAGAGGAGAGUGGAAUUCCACGUGUAGCGGUGAAAUGCGUAGAGAUGUGGAGGAACACCAGUGGCGAAGGCGACUCUCUGGUCUGUAACCGACGCUGAGGAGCGAAAGCGUGGGGAGCGAACAGGAUUAGAUACCCCUGUAGUCCCUGUCUCUUAUAC